AUUGAACGCUGGCGGCAGGCCUAACACAUGCAAGUCGAGCGGAUGAAGAGAGCUUGCUCUCUGAUUUAGCGGCGGACGGGUGAGUAAUGCCUAGGAAUCUGCCUGGUAGUGGGGGAUAACGUUCCGAAAGGAACGCUAAUACCGCGUACGUCCUACGGGAGAAAGCAGGGGACCUUCGGGCCUUGCGCUAUCAGAUGAGCCUAGGUCGGAUUAGCUAGUUGGUGAGGUAAUGGCUCACCAAGGCGACGAUCCGUAACUGGUCUGAGAGGAUGAUCAGUCACACUGGAACUGAGACACGGUCCAGGCUCCUACGGGAGGCAGCAGUGGGGAAUAUUGGACAAUGGGCGAAAGCCUGAUCCAGCCAUGCCGCGUGUGUGAAGAAGGUCUUCGGAUUGUAAAGCACUUUAAGUUGGGAGAAAGGGCAGUAAGUUAAUACCUUGCUGUUUUGACGUUACCGACAGAAUAAGCACCGGCUAACUUCGUGCCAGCCGCCGCUGUAAAAC
rnacentral:rRNA from 1 species